GACGAACGCUGGCGGCGUGCUUAACACAUGCAAGUCGAACGGACAGGCCUCUUUCGGGGGGUACUCGAGUGGCGAACGGGUGAGUAACACGUGAGUAACCUGCCCUUGACUUUGGGAUAACUUCAGGAAACUGGGGCUAAUACCGGAUAGGAGCUCCUGCUGAAUGGUGGGGGUUGGAAAGUUUCGGCGGUUGGGGAUGGACUCGCGGCGUAUCAGCUUGUUGGUGGGGUAGUGGCUUAGCAAGGCUUUGACGGGUAGCCGGCGUGAGAGGGUGACCGGCCACAUUGGAGGUGAGACGCGCUCCAGACGCCUGCGGUAGGCCCCAGUAGGGAACCGGGGGCAAUGGGGGAAAGCAUGACGGAGCGAGGGGGCGUGAGUGAUGAAGGUCCUCUGAUCGUAAAACUGGGUUAUGGGUGAAGAACACAUUUGUAUGUAACUAUGCACUUCUUGACGGUACCUAAUCAGAAAGCCACGGGUAAAUACGUG
rnacentral:rRNA from 1 species